rnacentral:rRNA from 1 species
AUUGAACGCUGGCGGCAGGCCUAACACAUGCAAGUCGAACGAGUGGCGGACGGGUGAGUAAUGUCUGGGAAACUGCCUGAUGGAGGGGGACAACUACUGGAAACGGUUGCUAAUACCGCAUACCAUCGGAUGUGCCCUUAGGUGAUUAGCUAGUAGGUGGGGUAAAGGCUCACCUAGGCGACGAUCCCUAGCUGGUCUGAGAGGAUGACGAGUCACACUGGAACUGAGACACGGUCCAGACUCCUACGGGAGGCAGCAGUGGGGAAUAUUGCACAAGGGGCGGAAGCCUGAUGCAGCCAUGCCGCGUGUAGGAAGAAGGCCUUCGGGUUGUAAAGGACGUUAAGCGGGGAGGCGUUACCCACAGAAGAAGCACCGGCUAACUCCGUGCCAGCAGCCGCGGUAAUAC